GUUGAAUUUUGUGGUCCUUAUUAUUCGGCUUCUCUUCUGUCUCCCCUCUUGUUUUACCAAAAACUAUACGCGGAUGUCAGUUACAAUCAGGUGUGUGUUGCCAGUAAUGGUUGAAGAUAUGCCAAACAAAUUGUGCCUCUCUAUACAGACAGAUUUCAGGUCUCAAUUUCAACUUCAAAGGUCAACAUAUCACUGAUAUCAGGGACUCAACAUUACACAGUCAUUUCAACAUGUAGAGUCUUGUCAGCAAAGAUGGAGCAGUACAUCAGAUUUCCAGAAUCUCGUCAUGAGCUGAAGAUCAUUGCCUAUGGAUUUCAUGAAUGAUGUAAAAUGAUUUGACUGUUGAUGGAACCCACAGUGCAUGUCCUGCUUCAACAUCUGAGCAUAGGUCCUUGUUUAUCAGCAGUUUAGUUCUUCAAGCAGUCUGUGACAGUAACUUGAAAUGUUUGGACAUAUGCCCUGGAUGGCCAAGUUCUAUGCAUGAUGCCCAUUUAAAUAGGAACGGCCCGGUGGCGCAUUAAAUGGACAAUUUUUCGAAUGUUCUCGUGGAUUCAGCUUACCGCCUGACAAGAAAUCUUGCUUUGUUCCGUAUCGAGGCCAUGGACAUUUGUAUCAUUUGCAAAAGAUACUGCGAUAUUUGUGCCUUUGUUCAUGCUUUAUAGUUGAUGAACAAUUGGAAGCCAUAACCUGUUUUAUAGGAUGGUGUUAGUGGGACAAUGAAUUUUGUAAAGAUUUAAAGACUGGAAAAGAUAAUUAAAAGUCAAAAGAGUUCUGCUAUUGUUAAGCAUGCUUUAUUGAUUUGUAAUGUUAGAAAGAUAGCAUUAUAAACAGAAUAAAAUGUCCAUAAUUUGAA